GAUGAACGCUAGCUACAGGCUUAACACAUGCAAGUCGAGGGGAAACGAUAUUGGAAGCUUGCUUCCGAUAGGCGUCGACCGGCGCACGGGUGAGUAACGCGUAUCCAACCUGCCCACCACUUGGGGAUAACCUUGCGAAAGUAAGACUAAUACCCAAUGAUAUCUCUAGAAGACAUCUGGAAGAGAUUAAAGAUUUAUCGGUGAUGGAUGGGGAUGCGUCUGAUUAGCUUGUUGGCGGGGUAACGGCCCACCAAGGCGACGAUCAGUAGGGGUUCUGAGAGGAAGGUCCCCCACAUUGGAACUGAGAAACGGUCCAAACUCCUACGGGAGGCAGCAGUGAGGAAUAUUGGUCAAUGGGCGAGAGCCUGAACCAGCCAAGUAGCGUGCAGGAUGACGGCCCUAUGGGUUGUAAACUGCUUUUAUAAGGGAAUAAAGUGAGAGUCGUGACUCUUUUUGCAUGUACCUUAUGAAUAAGGACCGGCUAAUUCCGUGCCAGCCGCCGCGGUAAAAC
rnacentral:rRNA from 1 species